UGGAUUAGGCAUGCAAGUCGAGCGAGGAAACGGUAGCAAUACUUGUUAUUCGAGCGGCGUAAGGGGCAGUAAUACCUGGGAACGUACCCUGAGGUCGGGGAUAGCUGCUGGAAACGGCGAGUAAUACCCGAUGAUCUUGGAAAAGCAAAGGCUUGCCGCCUUGGGAGCGGCCCAGGCGAUAUUAGCUAGUUGGUGAGGUAACGGCUUACCAAGGCAAAGAUGUUUAGCGGGUGUGAGAGCACGACCCGCGCCACUGGCACUGAGACACUGGCCAGACACCCACGGGUGGCUGCAGUCGAGGAUCUUCGGCAAUGGGCGCAAGCCUGACCGAGCGACGCCGCGUGGGCGAUGAAGGCCUUCGGGUUGUAAAGCCCUGUCGAGGGGGAGAAAAGCCGAAAGGUUUGAUCUAUCCCUGGAGGAAGCACGGGCUAAGUUCGUGCCAGCAGCCGCGGUA
rnacentral:rRNA from 1 species